CUGAUUUUGCACGCAAACUCCAUGCCUGCCGAGAUUUAUGGGAGAUUUUUCACGCCAAGAGGGUUUUGCACGCAAGGAAGUAUGGGCAAAAGUGGUGAGGUGGAGGGUGGAAUUCGGCUAUAAAAGGAAGGAGAUGUGGGCGAAUGGAAGCAAGGAGAAAUGGCAGCGAGCGUGAGCAAGCAUCCCAGUUGUUCCCUAAGCCAUGCCUCUACAACUUACCCCAUACCCUGUAACCCUCCAGCCACACCCUACAAGAUUUAAGCGACGCCCUGCCAGACUUGAAAGAAAAUUAGCAAGAAGAUAUGGGGUAGGGAGAAUUGAGAGAUUGACUUAUCUCUCAUUAAUUAAAUGUGGUACUAUAUAUAUAUAUAUAUACGUACGCAAGUGUGGCCAUGCCCUGUGAACUCUCUGGCCAUGCUCUGUAAAUGCUGUAAUCUUCACGCUAAAAGGAGGGAUGGCCGAAGGAAUUGAGGGUCGGGGUUGCCUAUAAAUAGAAGAGGAAGUGGAGAGCAAAUGCAAGAAAUGUAGAAGGAAAGGAAAGCUUGGGCAGGUGGCCAUGGCAGCACCUCGAGUGGAGCAGGGCAACAGCAGCAAGCUGCGACGGUGUGCGGAUGCGGGGCCGAGGCAACCUCGUACGGUGGUUCGUGGCGAGAGGCAGCUUGCUGGCGAGCUGGUGCGGUGAUGGAGUCCGAGAGGCGGCCAAGAGCAGCAAGCCCGCGGCCAUGGUAGCCAUGGCCGCGAGCUCACCGAGCUGGAGCAGCUACCACGGUGAUGGCAGCAGGGUGCGAUGCGAUGAGGAGCUUCAACGCACGGUGGUGGCUCACGGCGGGAACGGUGGCUGGCGGCGGCCGAUGGAGGGCGAAGGUUGGCUGGUUGGCGGUGGAGCUGUGCGCGCAUGAAGCUGGGCGCACGAAGAAGCUACAGGGGCGAUGCAGAGAAAGAAGAAAGAGGAGAAGAAGAAGAAGAAGAAGAAGAAAAGAAGGAAGAAGAAGAAGAGAAGAAAAAGAAGAAAGAAGGAAAAGGAGGAAGAAGAAGAAGAAGUUGUAGGCGCAGGAGGCGGGAAGAGGAGGAAGAAGAAGAAGGGAGGAGAAAGAAAAGAAAAAACGAAAAGAAAAGAAAAGUAAGAAAGAAAGAAAAGAAAAGAAAUGGAAAAAAAAAAGAGAAAAAUGUUGAAAAAAUCUCAGAAAAAUCCCAAAAGAUAGGAAACUAUAUUUUGAUAAUAUGUCGGAGAUUUUGGGGAGAAAAAUUGUCCAGGCACGCUUUUCGAGAAUGUGGCACGCAUACUGAGGAAGCCAAUGAAGCUAAGUUAAGGAUGCUUUGAGGGGUAAGUUGAAGAGACUUGUGCAAAUUUUGAGGUUGGCACGCAAAUCGAGGUAAGGCACGGAUAUCGAGGUAGCCCGAUAAGCUUGAGAAGCUUUGGCCGUCGGCUAUAGCAAAACUUAAAGUCAUGGCCAUCCGGAGAUGGCCAAGCAAUCGAAAAGCCACGGUCAGAGGGAUUGGAAUCAGCGACAAUGCCGGAGGAUGAAAACAAGAGA